GGGCCCGCACAAGCAGUGGAGCAUGUGGUUUAAUUCGACGCAACGCGAAGAACCUUACCUGGUCUUGACAUCCUGCGAACUUUCUAGAGAUAGAUUGGUGCCUUCGGGAACGCAGUGACAGGUGCUGCAUGGCUGUCGUCAGCUCGUGUCGUGAGAUGUUGGGUUAAGUCCCGUAACGAGCGCAACCCUUGUCCUUAUUUGCCAUCAUUUAGUUGGGCACUCUAGGGAGACUGCCGGUGACAAAACCGGAGGAAGGUGGGGGACGACGUCAAGUCAUCAUGGCCCUUACGACCAGGGCUACACACGUGCUACAAAUGGGGCGUACAAAGGGUUGCAAUCCCGCGAGGGGGAGCUAA
rnacentral:rRNA from 1 species